GCGAAACCUACACUGCAUGGCGCAAAAAGUAAUACACUGUCGAUUGUUAUUUGGGCGCGAAGAAAAGUGGUUCAACUACAGUAAGCUCGUGGACUAUAUUUUCUGAUGAAUAUGUCAGGGAAAAAAGAUGAUGAUGAUACAGACAAGUUUAUUGAUGACUAUAUAAAGGUGGCACAAAAAUGUGUUAUGCGGUGCGUGUCGCUGUUCGCGACUACUGUUACUCCAGAGGAGAUGGAGUGCAUUAGACAAUGCAUUCGACAUGAAAUGUAUAUCAUGCGGCAGCGUAAAAACAAUAGAUUACCAGAAGCCAUCAAGUAAAACUGUUCUGGAUGCUGAGAGACCUAUAAGUGAACUGAUAUGGAAUUUAUGUUAAAACGAAUUCUCUAAAAUAAAUAUUUAUUAAUAAAAAUGAUUGAUGAGGUGA